CCGGAAAAUCUAUCCUCCUGACCGGAAAAAGUUCACCGCAUUUUUCUCGGAUCGUGGUCCCUAGUUGCACCCACUAAUUGCAAAAUUUUCGCCUUCCUUCUCUCAUUGCAGAUCUGGAUUAGUAGCGGUGAAGGCGAUUCGUCGUGCCGUGAAUUCCACCGUCGUGCCGCGCUCGAUCCCCUCAUGCGCCGGUGCUGCUCUAUCCCGGCGCGGCGGUGCGGGGGCCUAGAUCCGGCGCUGCCCCUUGCUCGCGCAGAUCUCGCCACGGGGCGACCUCCUCCCUCCUCACGGCGGCAGCCCACGUCUAGGCCGCGUGGACGACGAUGGUCCUUGUAUGACGGGGCCACGAGUCCGCGAACGGGGGUGCGCGACCUCUUCCCUCCACAAUGGCUUGUCGCCGUCCGUCGCCAUGUGGGGCCGCGAUCUCCAUCCCCAUGCAGCGCCUGCUCCGGGUUAGGCAUGGCGAAGCAGCUGGCCCGGGACUGCGGGAACCUCAACGGCAGCUGACGCUGCCACCGGCCACUCGACCCCGCCCCCAAACGCACGGCUCAACACCCAGCCUGCACCCCGAGCCACGAAGCCGGCCAGUCGCUCACCUGCAUCCUAAGCUCCACCUGGAAACGGCGGUGCGGCGGCGGCCGUGUGCUCCCCUACUGGAUCUAUGUGGCAGGUCAGGUUCGGAUCUAUGUCCGCCUACAAACUCCCUUGUGUUAGCGCGAGCGGCCAGCGCGACAAGGACGACGUCACGGCCACUGGUGGCUGGAGCUCCCUCGUCGCAAGUGUCCUCGUCGAUCUGCUGCACACAUCUUGGAUGCAGUUCUUUGGGUGGCAACGGAGCUGCAACAACAAUGGGCCAGGCAGCAAUAAGAGGCCAAAACUCACACCGAGCCAACGAGAUUUUCCGGUUCCGAAUAAUCUCUCCUUCCAUGACGCUGGCAAUUUGUUGAGAUUAACCCUGAAUUUUCCCACUACCUCCGUUUGAAUUGGCCACCUGCAGAUGAGCCUGCAACCACAAAUUUUGACGGUUGAUAAUCCCCAAUUUUGUUGAUCUGUUGGGCAAAUGAGUUUAUGAUCCACAGCGGCGACCUGCCAAUUGUUUUGGCUGCUCCUCGUGCAGGCCCACGGAGACAAGGAUUCUGAGUAAUAGAAGCAAUACGUUGGACACAUAUUGAGCGCAGUCCAGAUCUGCAUAGAGAAGCCAAACCGGCUUAUGGAGUGAUAACUUUGGCGUGUUUGCUAAGAAGAAAAUGCAGACUGUUUACUGCUGGCACAGAUAAUAUAUAUAUAUCACUUGUGCAUGCUUUGGGACGUUAGAACACUUAUCGGCUUGGCUGAUGUGAUUCUGGGACACUCGAUCCACCUAUACAUUUGUGUGAAGAAGUGGUGCAUAUGUCUUAUUUUGUUGCCCCUCAACUUUGAACCAGCAAGAUCUGAUGAAGGUCUGUGAGGCAUGCCACAAAUCUAUCAACAAGACGCGGAGAUAAUAUCUCCAUGUCUCCUGGAGGUGGACGGAUUGGAACAACUGCAAUGACAACUAGAGGUCGAGAGGAUGACUUCGAGGUGACCGCACACAGAUCGCUCGCAGUAUUCUUAAAAACAUGGAAGGAAUGCAAAAGGAAUACCUUCUUGAUUAGGGAUUUUUCUGUGUAAUCAAUUAAACAACUUUGGUUCCUCUUACUAAUUAGAUUAUGAAAGGAGACAUGUUCCAGGGCACACUACAAUUUUACAGAGAUCAUAUAUAUAA